rnacentral:rRNA from 1 species
GUCCACGCCGUAAACGAUGGGCACUAGGUGUGGGAGGUGUCGACUCCUUCCGUGCCGAAGCUAACGCAUUAAGUGCCCCGCCUGGGGAGUACGGCCGCAAGGCUAAAACUCAAAGGAAUUGACGGGGGCCCGCACAAGCAGCGGAGCAUGUGGUUUAAUUGGAUGCAACGCCAAGAACCUUACCAAGGCUUAACUAUGUUGGGAAAGCCGGAGAAAUUCGGCCCUCCUUCGGGACCCAUCACUAGGUGGUGCAUGGCUGUCGU